rnacentral:sRNA from 1 species
CUUCCAUCCCCCAUUACUAUUGCACGUUCCAGAGAUUCGCAGCCAUCAACUUCUUACCUUGUCCGACACAAAUCUCCCCGCCUUAAAUUUACUGUUCGUUCACGAAGACUGCGGCCAUACCCUACCAUUGCGCAUUAGCCUUGCAUUAUGCAUGACCUCGGCCCAAAUCGCUAUCGCCAGUCCUUCAGUCGACGAAUGAGCUAAGGAGAGUGACUAUUGCAACAUAAGUCCAACAAACAUAGCAUAUGUAGCAGUAUGUCAGCUCCUUUAGGAAAAUGAUUGGUACAUAGGCCCCAAGGCUUGCAUGAACCAAACAAGUAGAGUGAUCGAUAAGCGUGAGGUCUCAAACAUGGAUUAUCAGUAACCUCUUCAUUCGCCUUAGCUGCAACCCAAGAUUCAUCGUCUACAUUCUGGAAGAGCAAGCAUCUCUACAAUACUCCUAUGCCUUGCGUAGUCAGUGGUAUUAGUAUAAGUAGAAUAACGGGAUCAAAAGGGCGAGGGGGGGGUACAUUCUUUUCCGUAUGUAUGUAUCUGAUCAAGUGUC